AAAAGAAAUAAAAAAGUAAACGAUAGAAGAAGAUGAAUGAUAGAACGGUAGUAGUAUGAGAUGAAUGCGGAGAAAGGUAUGAGAUGAAUGAAGAGGAAGAUGAACGGUAGAACAUUUGGUUUUUUUUUUUUUUUUUUUAAUUUUUUUAAAAUUUUUUUAAUUAAAACUUAAAAAAAAAAGUUAAAUAUAUUAGAUGGUUGGGUGAACUUAGAUAAGUGGUGAUGAAUAAUACUUUAUUUAAUAAUUUCUGUCAUGAAUCUUUAAACCAGAAAAAAAGUUUAGUGUUUCAAAGCUUCAUAAAAAUAAUUGAACUAUAAAGCCCCUCAAACAAAAAUAUUCCACAACUAGCUGAAAAUAAUACAAACAAAAUAGUAGGGAUAAUUUUGUCAUAAAAACAAAAAAAAAAAAAUUAACAAAAUAGUAGAAGCAGUUUUCUUCCCACUACCAUGCGAGAAACACACGCGUAAUGGAAGGAAACUGUAGUCUCAAUCAGAUCCAACCGCACCAGCAGAAAUACAAAGCAGUUUUCUUCCCACUAAUUCACUCAAAUCCAAUCGCACCAGCAACUUUCAUGUAAGCCCUGAUCUUCCUCUCACUCUAUCUCAGUUACCCAUUUGUUGUUCAUCAUCUUGCUUCGAUUAAGCUAUUUGUGACUGAAACCGUCGCUUUCAUUGCCAUCUUCCCCAGAUUCAUGAAAAGGAUUGGGACUACAGAGGCGAAGCUCCGAAAAAUUCUGUGGAUCACAAAAAGGGAGCAGCAGAGGAUAGAAGAAACAAAGAGGCCUAGAUACACGGAAGGAAGAAACCGCCAUUCUUCUUCAAAUUUGGAUCGCAAGAAGUGAGCAACAGAGUAAUUGAUCAUGGUCUUUUAUCUUCUUAUUCAAUUUUCCCAUUUCAUUUUUAAUAUUUUUCAGUCUCACUCUUCCCGGAGAUUACAUCUACAGGUCCCUCUUCACAAGAUCCCAGCACGUUUCUUUUCACCUCCACUUCUCCAUUACCCUUUCAAAUUUCUCCAAUUUUUUUUUUUUUUUUUUUGUCAUUUUGUUCCUGGGUUUGAUUCUUUAGUUUGAUUUUAGUGCUGCAUUUUUUGUUCUUUUGGGUUUAGUCUCACCUUUUUAUAAAACCCAAUUGUAAGAUAGUUCCUAUGUUUGUGCUUUGUAUUUUCAACUGUAUUAUGACAUAGAUUUGUAUCAAGUUUGUGAAUUUUGAUGUGAGGUUUUUUCUAAGUUGCUCAAUUGUGAGUUGAGGUUCUGCAUGUGGAGCUUCUUAUGUAUGUACCCUUUUUGAGCUGUAAAGCUACAUGAUUAAUCAAUUUUAGGUGUGUUGAUAAGCAGGUUUCUGCUUAUUUCUGUUUUCUUA